AGCAGCCGCGGUAAUUCCAGCUCCAAUAGCGUAUAUUAAAGUUGUUGCAGUUAAAAAGCUCGUAGUUGAAUUUCGAGACCGGCUUACUGGUCGUGCUUUUGUACGUACUGGUAUAAUCGGUUUCUCCUUUCUGACGAACUAUAAUGCCAUUAAUUUGGUGUUAUAGGGAAUCAGGACUGUUACUUUGAAAAAAUUAGAGUGUUUAAAGCAGGCUCACGCUUGAAUACAUUAGCAUGGAAUAACGGAAUAGGACGUUUGAUUCUAUUUUGUUGGUUUCUAGGAUCGACGUAAUGAUUAAUAGGGAUAGUUGGGGGCAUUAGUAUUCAAUUGUCAGAGGUGAAAUUCUUGGAUUUAUUGAAGACUAACUACUGCGAAAGCAUUUGCCAAGGAUGUUUUCAUUAAUCAAGAACGAAAGUUAGGGGAUCGAAGACGAUCAGAUACCGUCGUAGUCUUAACCAUAAACUAUGCCGACUAGGGAUCGGAUGAUGUUAAUUUUUAAUGACUCAUUCGGCGCCU
rnacentral:rRNA from 1 species